rnacentral:misc_RNA from 1 species
CACUUGUCAAAUUACACCAAAAUCCACAUUUUCAGAUAACCAAACUACGAUUAAGGACAAAACAAGUACAGUCUCCGUUCUUCUUACAAAUCGACCUCAGAAACAGCCUUACUCCCUAACGCUUCAAAAAACCCGUCUUGGAUCAACAAUCUUCAGCAAGAACCUCAAGAAUCUACCGCGAUAGAAGGAAAUCACUAUUAAUCCAGAUCCCCUAUGUAUCGUCCGAGAUCCAGAAUAAUUAAAUAUACCGGAAACCCCAAUUCAUCGACGAGGAGAGAGGACAGAAAAAGCAAUAACCAACCCCUAUCUUCUCGACUCCGG